rnacentral:rRNA from 1 species
ACGGCCAGAGAUGGUCGCCCCCUUGUGGUUGGUGUACAGGUGGUGCAUGGUUGUCGUCAGCUCGUGUCGCGAGAUGUUGGGUUAAGUCCCGCAACGAGCGCAACCCUCGUUCUAUGUUGCCAGCGCGUUAUGGCGGGGACUCACAGGAGACUGCCGGGGUCAACUCGGAGGAAGGUGGGGAUGACGUCAAAUCAUCAUGCCCCUUAUGACCUGGGCUACACACGUGCUACAAUGGACGGUACAACGAGUCGCGAAACCGCGAGGUCAAGCUAAUCUCUUAAAGCCGUUCUCAGUUCGGAUUGUAGGCUGCAACUCGCCUACAUGAAGUUGGAAUCGCUAGUAAUCGUGGAUCAGCAUGCCACGGUGAAUACGUUCCCGGGUCUUGUACACACCGA